rnacentral:rRNA from 1 species
UACGUAGGGUGCAAGCGUUGUCCGGAAUUAUUGGGCGUAAAGAGCUCGUAGGCGGUCUGUCGCGUCUGCUGUGAAAACUCGGGGCUUAACCCCGGGCCUGCAGUGGGUACGGGCAGACUAGAGUGCGGUGGGGAGACUGGAAUUCCUGGUGUAGCGGUGAAAUGCGUAGAUAUCAGGAGGAAUACCGAUGGCGAAGGCAGGUCUCUGGGCUGACACUGACGCUCAUGCACGAAAGCGUGGGGAGCAAACAGG